UGAUUCCUUUGGGGCAGGGUGUAAUUCCCGACCGACGGUAAUAAGCGUUAUAGCUUAAAGUCCGUGACCCGGAUCGCCACGAGUGGUGUGAAGGUGGAUUUGGUGAGAGGCCAAAACCGACAGUAAUAGUCUGGAUGGGAAAAGGAAUGC
rnacentral:ncRNA from 2 species